AUUACUUUUUAUAAACAUAUUAAAAACCAUGAAAAUUACUAAAAUAGUAUUAUUCUUGUUAGUUGUAGCAGUCUUGGAAUGUACAGCAAACAAUUUUCAAAAUAUCUUCAGUACUGAGUCAAGUAAUAACGUCAAUGGUAUUUCAGAAGUUAUAGAUACAUCUUUUGAUGUCACAAAUCAAAUAGCAUCAACCAUACAAGAAAUAAUACAAAGAAUUUAUUCCACAUUAAGUGAAAUUUUGAUUUAUACGAUUAAAACCAUCCAAGCAACUGGUGGUUCUGCUACUGAAAUGGUUCGAGAAAUAAUCAACAGUGAAGUUAAUUUUUUCAAAAGUAUUUUCCAAAUGGUUCAAGAUGGAUUCGAUAACAUCUAACAAUAUAUGUAUAUAAGAUAACAAUAAAUGUUAUUAAUCAUAUUGGAGAAUAAAAUAAGUUCGUUUAA